AUUGAACGCUGGCGGCAUGCCUUACACAUGCAAGUCGAACGGUAACAGGUCUUCGGAUGCUGACGAGUGGCGAACGGGUGAGUAAUACAUCGGAACGUGCCUAGUAGUGGGGGAUAACUACUCGAAAGAGUGGCUAAUACCGCUUGAGAUCUACGGAUGAAAGCAGGGGAUCGCAAGACCUUGUGCUACUAGAGCGGCCGAUGGCAGAUUAGGUAGUUGGUGGGAUAAAAGCUUACCAAGCCGACGAUCUGUAGCUGGUCUGAGAGGACGAUCAGCAACACUGGGACUGAGACACGGCCCAGACUCCUACGGGAGGCAGCAGUGGGGAAUUUUGGGCAAUGGGCGCAAGCCUGAUCCAGCAAUGCCGCGUGCAGGAUGAAGGCCUUCGGGUUGUAAACUGCUUUUGUACGGAACGAAAAGCCCUGGGUUAAUACCCUGGGGUCAUGACGGUACCGUAAGAAUAAGCACCGGCUAACUACGUGCCAGCCGCCGCCGUAAAAC
rnacentral:rRNA from 1 species